rnacentral:misc_RNA from 1 species
AAGUCGUAACAAGGUUUCCGUAGGUGAACCUGCGGAAGGAUCAUUAACACGUAUCCAACGUUAAAACCACGGCCGGCGACCGGUCACCGGGCUCACGCCCCUUAAUAACCUUUGCAUGAAAACGGGCCUGCGCUUAAUUGUGCGGCCAUAAACCGAACAACUGUUAACAAUGGAUAUCUUGGUUGAUGAAGAACGCAG